GAUGAAGAACGCAGCGAAAUGCGAUAAGUAGUGUGAAUUGCAGAAUUCAGUGAAUCAUCGAAUCUUUGAACGCACAUUGCGCCCCUUGGUAUUCCAUGGGGCAUGCCUGUUCGAGCGUCAUUUGUACCUUCAAGCUUUGCUUGGUGUUGGGUGUUUGUCUCGCCUUUGCGUGUAGACUCGCCUUAAAAUAAUUGGCAGCCGGCGUAUUGAUUUCGGAGCGCAGUACAUCUCGCGCUUUGCACUCAUAACGACAGCGUCCAAAAGUUCAUUUUACACUCUUGACCUCGGAUCAGGUAGGGAUACCCGCUGAACUUAAGCAUAUCAAUAAGCGGAGGA
rnacentral:misc_RNA from 1 species